ACGGGUGAGUAACGCGUGGGAAUCUACCUAGUUCUACGGAACAACAGUUGGAAACGACUGCUAAUACCGUAUACGCCCUAUGGGGGAAAGAUUUAUCGGAAUUAGAUGAGCCCGCGUAAGAUUAGCUAGUUGGUGGGGUAAUGGCCUACCAAGGCGACGAUCUUUAGCUGGUCUGAGAGGAUGAUCAGCCACACUGGGACUGAGACACGGCCCAGACUCCUACGGGAGGCAGCAGUGGGGAAUAUUGGACAAUGGGCGCAAGCCUGAUCCAGCCAUGCCGCGUGAGUGAUGAAGGCCUUAGGGUUGUAAAGCUCUUUCAGUGGGGAAGAUAAUGACGGUACCCACAGAAGAAGCCCCGGCUAACUUCGUGCCAGCAGCCGCGGUAAUACGAAGGGGGCUAGCGUUGUUCGGAUUUACUGGGCGUAAAGCGCACGUAGGCGGAUUGGUCAGUUAGGGGUGAAAUCCUGGAGCUCAACUCCAGAACUGCCUUUAAUACUGCCAGUCUCGAGUCCGGAAGAGGUAAGUGGAACUCCUAGUGUAGAGGUGGAAUUCGUAGA
rnacentral:rRNA from 1 species